AUCCAGCUGACGACGAUUCCUAAACAGGAUGAAAUGCGCAUCCUGGAU
rnacentral:hammerhead_ribozyme from 1 species